rnacentral:tRNA from 1 species
AGUGGUUAAGAGCUUAAUCAGCUGCUAACUGAAAGGUUGGUGGUUCAAAUCCACCAGCCACUU